UACGUAGGUGGCGAGCGUUGUCCGGAUUUACUGGGCGUAAAGAGCGCGCAGGCGGUCGUUCAAGUCGCGUGUGAAAGCCCCCGGCUCAACUGGGGAGGGUCACGCGAUACUGAUCGACUCGAAGGCAGGAGAGGGAAGUGGAAUUCCCGGUGUAGUGGUGAAAUGCGCAGAUAUCAGGAGGAACACCGGUGGCGAAGGCGGAUCUCUGGGCCGUACCUGACGCUCAGGUGCGAAAGCUAGGGGAGCGAACAGG
rnacentral:rRNA from 1 species